rnacentral:rRNA from 1 species
AUUGAACGCUGGCGGCAGGCCUAACACAUGCAAGUCGAGCGGAGCGGCGGACGGGUGAGUAAUGCCUAGGAAUCUGCCUGGUAGUGGGGGAUAACGUCCGGAAACGGGCGCUAAUACCGCAUACUAUCAGAUGAGCCUAGGUGGUAUUAGCUUGUUGGUGGGGUAAAGGCCUACCAAGGCGACGAUCCGUAACUGGGCUGAGAGGAUGAUCAGUCAAACUGGAACUGAGACACGGUCAAGAUGCCUACGGUAGGAAGCAGGGGGGAAGAUGGGACAAUGGGCGAAAGCCUGAUCGAGCCAUGCCGCGUGUGUGAAGAAGGUCUUCGGAUUGUAAAGCACUUUAAGUUGGGAGGCGUUACCAACAGAAUAAGCACCGGCUAACUUCGUGCCAGCAGCCGCGGUAAUUC